UUUCUUCCAUUUUAUUUGCAGAACCACUCCCACUUCCACAGAACCAUCGAUCCACCAUCGAUCCACCACCCCCACCACCCCCACCAUCGUAAUUGAUUUCAUCGUAAUUGAUUUUUUCCACAGAACCAUCGAUCCACCACCACCCCACCAUCGUAAUUGAUUUCUUCCACAGAACCACCCCACCAACAUUUCAUUUUCUUCCACAGAACCACCCCACCACCAUCGAUCCCCCCACCCACACCAUUUUUGAUAGAAUAUCUUUGUUAAAUCUACCAAAAACUCAGAAGCUAAUUCUCUGAAGUCUUAUCUAUAGAUCAAAACUCAUCUUUCAGAUAUCAAACUCAAUCUUCACUAACCCAGAAUUCGUUUGCAGCCCUAGAUAUGUGAUUUUCCCCGUCAUGAACUCUAGCAAAAUUAACAUUAUUUUUACUCUUUUUCUGUAUCGAGAGUAUAAUUCGUUUUUUCUUUAUGGAUUUUGUGAGUCCGGCUUUUUUUAUCGACCUCCUUAUAUGUCAUUUAUGAUCAAGAAGAACCUUGGUGAAAAUAAGACAAAGCAGACCCAUCACUAAUCGGUUCCGUAUGAAAUUGAUAACCCGGUCAGGUUUGUGUUUUUUUUUCCUUCACCAUAUCAUAGCAGUAGAAUCUUCUCAUUCCUAUAAGUACAUCCUCCUCAACACAAUUUUGAAAUAGAUAAAGCUUUUGAUUUUGUUCAAGUACCCAUUUCUCUUUUUAAAAAGGUAAGAACUUUGAUCUUCAUUCUUUGUUUAUGUACUUUGAAUUCCAUUUUUGUUUAGUGAACAGUAAAUUAAGUAAAGCUUUAUAAACUUUGGGAUGCAUUUGGCUCGACUUAUACGAUUUCGUACUAGUUAACUAGCAUUGGUGUGCAUUAUUUUGGUUAUUUGGGGAUAUCAAUUUCCUUACAGAUACAUGACUCUCCGUUGUGUGUUUGGGAACAAAAACCCAAUAUUUAUGCUUUAUCAUCACUACUCUAUCUCUAAAUCUGGCUAUUACAUUGUCUCAUUAUCCUAUUCCUGUGCAGUAGUUGCAUAAAAAGAAAGCUUAAAUAGGUUUGCAUAAAAAGAAAGCUUAAAUAUUCCUGUGCAAUAUUUAUGCUUGUUCUUUCCCUAAAAUUAAGUCAGUAUUACAAACACUUCAGUCCAGGUAUCGCUAUCCGUACAGUUGUUUCAUCUUUCCACUAACAUUUUUUCUUUUCCCGUCUAUGUUCGAUUUGAUAUCCACCUCUAAGACGUGUUUCUAUGCUGAAUUGUAGGCUGUAAGACAAGAUAGUAUUGACCCGGAUAACAUGACUUAUGAGCAAUUGCAAUCAUUAGGAGAAUCCGUUGGAACUAAGAGUAAAGGUCACUGAAUUCUGUUAUGCUGAAUCAGAACAAUACCUUGCUUACACCGUGCAGCUAGAGAAUGGAGAAAUUAAGGUUAGUUCACCUCUUAAUCAAAAACCCUGUGAAAUCAUCUGGUUUGACAUAAUGACAUCAGUGCCUUGAGUUCCUCCAGUAGUAUUUUUCUCAUCAUUGCAGAAAAAACUUAAGCAUGAGUGGUAAUAGGUUGCUUCCCUCACUAGAUCCUUGUUAACUUCGAUUUAAGUAGGAAGCUCACCCAUUCUUUCCAACCUUCUUUUCCAUAUAUGCUUCAACUUAUAGUUUAUUCCACCGUGAACCUUUAACACCUCAAUCAUGCAUAGUUGUAUUGUGAGGAAUACUGCAUUUAAAGAUUCUGAUGAUAGUUUUUCGAAUGAUGUGUUCACUGCCAAGAGGAGCUCACCAACAGUGGUAGGAGCCUCUUCGUGUUGUAACGAUUGGAUCUCCAUAAAGAACCCAAGAUCCAACACGUUCAUGUCUGGACUUUGUGAGGGUUGAAACCGGAGUCAAAUAUUAAAACCUUCCUUUGCCGCUUCCCGUUUGUCUUCAAGUGUCCCAGCUGGACGAUUCUUGCUGGAACGCUUUGCUGCUUCCUUCGUUACAAAAGGGAAUAUCCUUAUUUUUCCGUUAAAAACUUCAUUCCCAAAUAAAUCGAAUCUUGGACAAGCAACUGCUGCUAAGAACAUCACCUUUUUGAUGUAUCUUUUGCUUUGACAAGUGCGAUGGGGUUCUGUUUCUUCCGGAAGAAGAUAGUAGUUCUCCAUGGUUUUGGUCAUAAAAAACCAUUUCUCGUCUAUGUGUAUGACAUUAUACAUACCCUUAACCAUCGGGUUCUCCUUGUAAGGGCUUGGCUCGAGCAUUCUCAAACAAAACUCCAACCUUGCUUUUUUGUUUUCAUAUGUGAAAGCUGGUUUAAUUGCAUUUGAAUGUCUUCUGAUCCGUCCUUUUUUGAUCAGUCUAAAUACAGUUGCAGUGGAUAUAUUUAGAUCUCUAGUGAGCGACCGCAUGUUGGUGCGUUGACGAAGUGGAAUUUCUGGAAGCUUCGACAAAACAAUUUCCAUUGGUUUACCACCACUUCGGGUUGGUUUCCUCGAAGACACAUCAACAGCUAUCUUUCAGCAGAAAGUGGUAAACUGACAAAAGUUGUUCGUUGGUGAGAUUCUUGUUAUUCCUGGUGGAGAAACUUGUUCCGAUGUCCAUGAAUGAAGGCACUGCAAAUUCUGCAAUAUUAAAACGUGUUUAGGUUCUCAGUGACAAUCCAAACAACAAUACACGUAGGUGACUCUACAGUGCUUCUUUGUGGACAACUUUCGAAAUAAUCUAAAUUGUUUAUUGAAAGAGGAGUGUCUCCUAGAGUCUCAUUAGGAGUUUCCGAGAUGUGGCUAACCUGGUAAUUGUGAAAAUCAAGACCUUGCUGUGAGCAUUGAAGGUAAAAGUAUGGAAGAAAGGAAUUAGGCAUUAGAAAAUUAUGCUUCAACAACACUUUCCUCAAAGCUCAUUGGUGGCAAAAGAGUUUCUUUUUCAACUAUGAUUGUAGAUGCUGUAAUUACUGUUGGCAGCAGUGACAGGUUCCAUUUAAUUGGUAUCAAGAAGCUCGCCCAUGGACACUGCCAGACUUCAUGUUCAAAUAUUGAAGCCUUGAUUAAAGAUUCACUUCUGCCCAUUUUCUGGACUGAUACUACUGCUGCUGCAUCUAUCUCAAGACUCUUAUUUCAUGACUGUCAAGUUCAGAUCCCUGGAAAUGGUACUCUAGACUAAGAGGCAAAUCUGAACUUAGACUCUGGAAUCAAUUUGUUAUCAACAAUGAAAGUGCAGGAUAAACAGUAUUUCAAUUACACAGUAAAGUUCAAGUAAUGAUUCAAGUAAUCAAUUUGUUAGAGGAUCUGAUAUUUUACCUUGGAACUUGUGGUGUUGAUUUUAAAUUUCAAGCUGAUUUUUCCUUUGAGAAUCUUAGAUCAGUAUUGAUUUUGUUGUAGUUUGAAAUUUAUUUUCCAGUUUAUUUCAGAUAUUGAUAUUCAAGAUGCAAAUCAAGGUAGUGGUUACAACAAGUUGAGGAGUGAUGAGCGAAGACACAAACUCUGUAAUUCUUAGAUUGAAGAUAAGAUAAUCUGUGAUCAAUUUGAUUUUUGAUUGAAAGUGAAAAUCAAAUCAUGGUAGUGAGUGUAACAAAUUGAGGAGUAAAUAGAAGAUUUUGUGAUUCUCAGAAGAUGAUGAAGAUUUCCUGUACCUGUUCUGAUUGAAUGUGUUUAUGUUUUGAUCGAAUUUAUUUCAGUUUUGAUCAAAUUUGUUUAUGAGUGAACCUGAUUUUGAUCAUUCUGAUCAAAAUCUAACUUGAUGUAUAUUUGAACUUACAUAUGUGUAAAUGGAGAUGGAGGGAAGUGUUUGAAAUUUGUGGUUUC